rnacentral:rRNA from 1 species
UUGACCUCGGAUCAGGUAGGAAUACCCGCUGAACUUAAGCAUAUCAUGUAAGCGGAGGAA